rnacentral:snRNA from 1 species
GUGCUCACUUUGGUAACACAUAAACUAAAAAUAAUACAGAGAUUAGCACGGCCACUGCACAAGGAUGACAUGUACAGUAAUAAUACAAUAUC